rnacentral:rRNA from 1 species
UACGUAGGGGGCUAGCGUUGUCCGGAAUCAUUGGGCGUAAAGGGCGCGUAGGCGGCCUGGCAAGUGGAAGGUGAAAUCCCUCGGCUUAACCGAGGAACUGCCCUCCAAACUGCUUGGCUCGAGUCCGGAAGAGGCGAGUGGAAUUCCUGGUGUAGCGGUGAAAUGCGCAGAUAUCAGGAGGAACACCAAUGGCGAAGGCAGCUCGCUGGGACGGUACUGACGCUGAGACGCGAAAGCGUGGGGAGCAAACAGG